UAAAACUUUCAGCGACGGAUGUCUUGGCUCCCACAACGAUGAAGAACGCAGCGAAAUGCGAUACGUCUUGCGACUUGCAGAAUCCAGUGAAUCAUCAAAACUUUGAACGCAUCUUGCGC
rnacentral:rRNA from 1 species